rnacentral:rRNA from 1 species
UACGUAGGUUGCGAGCGUUAUUCGGAUUUACUGGGCGUAAAGCGCACCGAGGUGGCUUCUUAAGUUGGAUGUAAAAUCUCCCGGCUUAACUGGGAGGCGCCAUUCAAUACUGAGGAGCUUGAGGCCAGCAGGGGAAAGCGGAAUUCCCGGUGUAGUGGUGGAAUGCGUAGAGAUCGGGAGGAACACCAGUGGCGAAAGCGGCUUUCUGGGCUGCGCCUGACACUCUAGUGCGAAAGCGUGGGGAGCAAACAGG